UACGUAGGGUGCGAGCGUUGCCCGGAUUUAUUGGGCGUAAAGGGCGCGUAGGCGGCCACGCACGUCCGUUGUGAAAUCGCCCGGCUCAACUGGGCGGGGUCGGCGGAUACGGCGUGGCUGGAGCAAGCUAGGGGGCAAUGGAAUUCCCGGUGUAGUGGUGGAAUGCGUAGAUAUCGGGAGGAACACCAGUAGCGAAGGCGGUUGCCUGGAGCUUUGCUGACGCUGAGGCGCGAAAGCGUGGGGAGCGAUCCGG
rnacentral:rRNA from 1 species